AAAGCUUUAAGUUAAAAUUAAACUGUUAACCUUCAAAGUUAAAAAUAAAAAAAAUUUUUAAGCUUUA
rnacentral:tRNA from 1 species